ACUAGGAGGGGAGGGAAGAGAAAUUUGCCAGUAUUUUUAGAACACUCCAUACAAGGCGCUGCUUUUUGUAUCAGCAGGAUGGUGCCCGAUACCCGGGCUGCACUCAGCAUCGGAGCGAGCGAAUGAAAACCUCCGCUCUCCCCGAGCAUGGAGAUCUCUAUGGAGGAAAUGCCCUGUACUCCCUGCCCGGGACGGACACAUCGUAGAGAAAGCGGCUCAGAAUUAACCGACGGACCGACUUAGAACACGAUCAAGCACACAGUGAAGCUGUGGUUUUGUCUCACGCAGAACAUCAGUCUCCCCCCGAGGCGACGGACACGGUGUGAUGCUUCCCAACUCCGCGACCCCGCACGACGUUAACCCUCAACCUCGGCUUCUGCACCCCCAGCACGAGGGUCACAACCGAACCCUGGCCUCACGAGGCUGUGAGGGUCACACGGGGGAAGUACUGGGCACAGGCCCUGGCCUAGAACGGCCCUCACUAUAUUUGGGGUGUCGCCAUCGUCACGCAAAAGAUAUCCCCUCAGUUCCUUUGAUAACUAUCUGGUCUGGUAGGUCCCGGAAAGCCGUGUGUCUGCUGUGACCCUGGGGAUCCCUCCAGAGAGAGUUCAGCUCCCCUCAACUCCUCCGUCUGACGUACGGUCAGACACAGUGCUCGUCCUUACGGUCACCAGACGGUGGCGGGGGGCAGGAGCUGGUUAAGGCCAGAUGGCCAGCUGCCUGCCACAACCCCAGCGGAUGUCUCACUGCAGCUGGAAAAGGUGGGUCCCCAAGUGGCUUUCCAGAGCUAAGGGUGGGGGAGGCCGCAUCACAGGACGGCGCGUCCCAACGGAGGCAGGACUCUCCCCGUCCCUGUGACAUAGCUGUAGUUAGGAUCCUGAGAUAAAUCGAGGUCUGCUCUAACCUGCAUUUAGGGAACGAAGAUCAUGUUAACAUUAAACAUCUUUACGUGGU